GGUGAGAUGGCCGAGCGGUCUAAGGCGCCAGACUAAGGAUCAGGACAUUAGAUGUCCACCAGUCGGGGUUCGUACCCUGAUAUCUGGUCCUCCGGGGCGUGGGUUCGAAUCCCACUCUCAUCA